rnacentral:tRNA from 1 species
GUAGCUUAGUGGCAGAGCAUGUGUUUGGCAUGCUUGAGGCCCUGGGUUCAAUUCCCAGC